rnacentral:rRNA from 1 species
GACGAACGCUGGCGGCGUGCUUAACACAUGCAAGUCGAGCGGUGCGGCGAACGGGUGAGUAACGCGUGAGUAAUUGCCCCCCUCUCUGGGAUAACAGUUGGAAACGGCUGCUAAUACCGGAUAGCGGGGGAUGAAUGGCGUCCUAUCAGCUUGUUGGUGGGGUAGUGGCCUACCAAGGCGACGACGGGUAGCCGGCCUGAGAGGUGGACCGGCCACAUUGGGCUGAGAUACGGACCAAACUCCUACGUGAGGCAGCAGGGGGGAAUAUUGCACAGUGGGGGAAACCCUGAUGCAGCAACGCCGCGUGCGUGAUGACGGCCUUCGGGUUGUAAACCGCGUUCAGCCAUGACGCGGUAGUGGCAGAAGAAGCACCGGCUAACUACGUGCCAGCCGCCGCGGUAAUUC